UACAGAGGGUGCAAGCGUUGUUCGGAAUUAUUGGGCGUAAAGGGAGUGUAGGCGGCUUGUUAAGUCUUCUGUGAAAUCUACGGGCUCAGCCUGUAAAGUGCAGAGGAAACUGGCGAGCUUGAGUGUCGGAGAGGAUAGGGGAAUACCCGGUGUAGAGGUGAAAUUCGUAGAGAUCGGGUGGAACACCAGUGGCGAAGGCGCCUGUCUGGCUGACAACUGACGCUGAGACUCGAAAGCAUGGGGAGCAAACAGG
rnacentral:rRNA from 1 species